CAAUAGCGUAUAUUUAAGUUGCUGCAGUUAAAAAGCUCGUAGUUGGAUUUCUGGUGGGAGCGGCCGGUCCGCCGUUUCGGUGUGCACUUGCUACGCCCACCUUGCUGCCGGGGACGUGCUCUUGAGUUCACGCUCGGGACACGGAGUCGGCGAGGUUACUUUGAGUAAAUUAGAGUGUUCAAAGCAGGCCUACGCUCUGAAUACAUUAGCAUGGAAUAACACGAUAGGACUCUGGCCUAUCUUGUUGGUCUGUAGGACCGGAGUAAUGAUUAAGAGGGACAGUCGGGGGCAUUCGUAUUUCAUUGUCAGAGGUGAAAUUCUUGGAUUUAUGAAAGACGAACUACUGCGAAAGCAUUUGCCAAGGAUGUUUUCAUUAA
rnacentral:rRNA from 1 species